AUUGAACGCUGGCGGCAUGCUUUACACAUGCAAGUCGGACGGCAGCACAGAGAAGCUUGCUUCUUGGGUGGCGAGUGGCGAACGGGUGAGUAAUAUAUCGGAACGUACCGAGUAAUGGGGGAUAACUAAUCGAAAGAUUAGCUAAUACCGCAUAUUCUCUGAGGAGGAAAGCAGGGGACCUUCGGGCCUUGCGUUAUUCGAGCGGCCGAUAUCUGAUUAGCUAGUUGGUGGGGUAAAGGCCUACCAAGGCGACGAUCAGUAGCGGGUCUGAGAGGAUGAUCCGCCACACUGGGACUGAGACACGGCCCAGACUCCUACGGGAGGCAGCAGUGGGGAAUUUUGGACAAUGGGCGCAAGCCUGAUCCAGCCAUGCCGCGUGUCUGAAGAAGGCCUUCGGGUUGUAAAGGACUUUUGUCAGGGAAGAAAAGGUUGUUGCUAAUAUCGACAGCUGA
rnacentral:rRNA from 1 species